UUAUUUGAGAGUUUGAUCCUGGCUCAGGAUGAACGCUGGCGGCGUGCCUAACACAUGUAAGUUGAGCGAUUUACUU
rnacentral:rRNA from 1 species